UACUAGAGUAGCACUCGCAUAUCAAUAAGCGGAGGAAAAGAAACUAACAAGGAUUCCCCUAGUAACGGCGAGUGAAGCGGGAAGAGCUCAAAUUUGAAAUCUUAAAGGGUUUCCCUUUACGAAUUGUAGUUUAAAGAAGUGUUUUCUGUUGAGGUUUUGGUAAAAGUUCUUUGGAAUAGGACAUCAUAGAGGGUGAGAAUCCCGUAUUUGACCUUUACUUUCAACUUUGUGAUACACUUUCAAAGAGUCGGAUUGUUUGGGAAUGCAGUCCAAAAUGGGUGGUAAAUUUCAUCUAAAGCUAAAUAUUGGCGAGAGACCGAUAGCGAACAAGUACCGUGAGGGAAAGAUGAAGAGAACUUUGAAAAGAGAGUUAAACAGUACGUGAAAUUGUCAAAAGGGAAGCGUUUGACACCAGUGUUGUUUUUCUGAAAACUCAAUUAAAGAACUGUUUAUGCUAAGUUGUUUAGACUUUAUCAGCUAUCUGCUUAGUUUUGAGCUUUUCUUUAAUGCACUUUUCAGUUAACAAGUCAACAUCAAUUUCUUUUGCUGUAAAAAAGCUUGAGGAGGGUGGCUUGAGAUUCGUCUUAAGUGUUUAUAGCCUCUUGCCUAUGCAGUCGGAGAGAUUGAGGUCUGCAGCGUAGAUCCUUCGGGGCUAAAUGCAUUUGUGCUAAGUUAUAGCAUUUUAUAGACAACUUGUUGACCUAUGAUUUGUCUUGUAGCUUACUCGCUUAUGUUAUUUUACCUACGCUUAGGAUGUUGAACUACUGAGACAUAGA
rnacentral:rRNA from 1 species